rnacentral:rRNA from 1 species
CCUACGGGGGGCUGCAGUGAGGAAUAUUGGUCAAUGGACGAGAGUCUGAACCAGCCAAGUAGCGUGAAGGAUGACGGCCCUAUGGGUUGUAAACUGCUUUGAUAGGGGAAUAAAAUGUGCCACGUGUGGGAUUUUGUAUGUACCAUAUGAAUAAGGAUCGGCUAACUCCGUGCCAGCAGCCGCGGUAAGACGGAGGAUCCGAGCGUUAUCCGGAUUUAUGGGGUUGACCGGGAGCGUAGGGGGAUUGUUAAGGCAGUGGUGCAAGUUUUCGGCUCCACCGUCAAAUUGCAGUUUAAACUGGCAGUCUUGAGUACAGUAGUGGUGGGCGGAAUUCGUGGUGUAGCGGU